AGCCCCUGGAGCGCGUCAAGGUCCUUCUUCUCCUCCCACAAAUGGUCAACUUGGUGCUGCUCCCUCUGCAGUGUAGGAGAACAAUACCCAUGGAGAUUCAUGGAGUAGGCUAUGUCAUCCUCUAACCACCAUGAUUGGCUGCUACCGGCGAGGCAAGGUAAUCUUUUUUUUUUAUUGUUAAAUUCUUCGAUUUUCGUUUCAAAUCCUUGGACCAGUUGCUGGGAUUGUAUAGUUAUUUGGAGGGACCUAUUUUGUACCCAAGUUUAAUUAGUAAGCUUCUGUAGUUGUGCAUGUAUCUUGUCCCUUUCGAGCAAAUGAAGGUUCCAUUAUGAAAUUUGACUACUAGAGCAUGUGUCGGUUCAGUUUGCCGUGUACACGUUUGGUUUGGACAAUAAUAAAAAAUCCGCUAACUUAAAUGAAUGUUUGUACUAGUAUCAGUUAGUUAGUUUGCAGGGAGAGAUGCAUAUCUGGUUUCCCUAUGUGUAUUGCUCACAUGCUUGUCUUUUUCUUUGACUGUGUAUGGCUCAGAUUGUAUGGUCGAGAAGGUCGGUGUUGACAACAGCGCUGAAGCUAUGCGUCCUCCCCUACAAGCAGUAUGGAUCCGCCAUGGCUGGACUAAGUGUAUGUAUGCUUCCAGUCCACAGUAAAGAGUUGUUCUUCUGUUUGUCUCUAGUCUUGAUAUGUCUCUUGUGAUCAUUGAUACAGUCUUGAUCCUUGUGCACGCUGUGUGUGUGUCCUGGAUCAGCUGCCACGCUAAUGUGCUGGUCGGUGUAAUACUCCCUCCGUCCCAAAAUAAGUGUCUCAUAGUACAAAGUUGAGACACUUAUUUUGAGACGGAGGGAGUAUUAUAUUAUGCUGGCCUGUUUACUGUUGGCUAGCUCGUUGAAACGGUGCCACCAAUUUAAACGAACCACUGCCAACUGAGUUGUCUGAGCGAUUGCACAUUUGACCGCCUGGAUCAGCAAGAGUUUUAUCACUUGUAUAUGCUUUUUUGUCUAGUGGCAAGGGCAUAUACAUGUUUGUACAAGCUUGCACUAGCAUGUGUCCUUUCCGGUGUUGUUUUGGUUGACAAGUGUUGAGUAUACGUAUGUGACCUACCUAGUUGGCCCAGCACCAAAUUUAAGUUGCUCUCGUGGCCUGUCUCCAGAUUAAUUUGCUCUUAUUUUUUACUUCAGACAAACAAUUAAAUUCUGCGUUCAUGCUCCUAAUCUAACGGGUUUAGUACCCUUGAACAUCCCCAAGAUAAAUUAUAAAUAUGGACCAUCAUAUUGCUCCCUGUUUUACUGUUGUUGUGCAUUCCUUGCUUCUGUUAAAGUAUUGCUGCUCACGUAGGAAAAAUGGAGGGUCUCUCGUCCAUCUCUCUCUGUCCGUUCAGUUUUUUUUUCUCUCUUUUAGACUUAAGCAUCAGUAGAUUCCAGUUUUCUGCUAAUUUGCUUCAAUCUGAGAGUUGAACCGGUGGUAUAUAGCUGAUAUGCAGUGAUUUUGGACAUGCAUGUUGUCGAUCUGAAGCAAAACCCACCGAUCCCUGCUUAGUUACUUAAUCAGCCCCUUCCUUUGUUUAAGAACAGGGUGCGGUUGGAUCCAUAGUACUACUGAGAAGCAAAGCAUCCAACCUUGCAUUGUUUUAUUUUCUAACUAAUGCUUGGUGAAAUAGAUGGUGCAGAGACUGGAUACUUUAUUGACGCAGAAAUAUGAUUGAAAAUAAACCUGCUUAUGUACCGGACUGCUGCUUCACGUUUCAACGUAUUUGGUUUAUAGGAUCUUUACUGUUAGUAGAAGGCAUGCUUUCUUGGAUGUUCAAUUUCUUGUCUGAAUAAAUAUGAUUUGGACAUGGUGUUGAUCUGAAGCGAAACCUAAUGAUCCCUUCUUAGUUCUUAAUCAGCCCCUCCCUUCAUUUGGUAAGGAAAAAAAAUAGGGUACUAGUUGGAUUCGUCGUUCUACUGAGAAGCAGAGCAAUCCAAUUUUUUUUGUUUUAGUUUUCAAUCAAUUCCUAGUGAAAUAGAUGGCUACAGAGACGGCGGGGUACUUUAUUGAUGCAGAAAUGUUGAUGCAUGCUUGUUCCUGUUGUCAAUUGGAUCAUCUUCUGUAGGUUUCUGACAUGUAGUUUAGGAUUCACCAUUGCAUGGCUAAUUAUUAUGUUGAUACAAUUUGUUUGCUUUGUAGACAAGCAUGGCAAUGUGCAUAACUUCCUAAAAAUUGAGCUUGUAUUGACUAUUGACUAGGUGUAAUUAAGUACUCUACGCGUUAGAUGAGUAGAUGGCGAUGUUGAUGUGCUGUGUUAAUCAGCACAAUAGCAUGUGAGUUCUGUUUGAUUUUUGAGAGCUUGAUGUUUCUGAAGUGAAAGCAUAUCUGGAUCGGUACCAUCUGCAUGACUAAUUGCAGGUCGGUGGUGAUAUCUUUGUGCGGCCUGACUAGUUGUAUUGACUGCUUUCUGUAAUUCUCUUAUGUGCAAGUUUUUCUGGUUCUAUUGGACCUUUUAAGUUUGGAUUUAUAUUGUCACAACUUUCCUUGAAGUCUUGAUUCUAAGCGAACCUGCAUGUGUACCUGUUGUCGCUUGGACCAUCUUCUUUAGGUUUCUGAUGUGCAAGUUUAUUUGGAUCCAUUGCACCUUUGCAUGACGAGUUGUUCCGCUGAUACAAUGUUUUGGUAGGCGCAUGGAAAUAAAAAUUAAAUUUCCUGAAAGUUGAGCUUGUCUUGACACUUGACUACGUUUCAUGUUGACAUGUACAUUGACGAUAUAGGAGUAGAUGAUGAUGCUGGCAGCCACAUUGGCGAUACAUGUUGACAUGUCCUUCCUGUUAAUUUGAUCAUGAUUCUUUAGUUUUCAUUGGUCAACCUGUCAAUUUCUUUGAUAACUCAACGCGGUAUAUGAGUAGAUGAUGAUGCUGGCAGCCACAUUGAUGAUACAUGUUGACAUGUACUUCCUGUUAAUUUGAUCAUGAUUCUUUAGUUUUCAUUGGUCAACCUGUCAAUUUCUUUAAGAAUUGGGUGUGGUUGGAUCCGUACUACUGAGAAGUAAAACAUUCCAACCUUGCUUUGUUUUAUUUCCUCAUUCUUUUUGAAAUACAUGGCUGCAGAAACAAAGUACUUUACAUAUGAUUGAAAAUAAAUCUGCUUAUGUACCGGACUGCCAUUUCAUAUUUCAACAUGUUUGUUUUGUCGUAUCUUUAUUGUUUUACUAGUUCACCACGAGAAUCCAUGCUUUAUUUUGUCAGUACAAGGCAUGCUUGCCGCUCACUGUCUCGUUUGUCGCCAGGAUUCAAGGAUCUCCAUUGGAAAGAAUGUGCCAAGCAAGUAGCACAUCAAGGAACCAUCUGACCCAUCCUAGCUAGGUGGCUUUGAUAGGUCCAGGAUACACGCAGGUCGUCGGAGAAGAAUCUUUAGCAAGAAAGCAAGUCCAAGACACACGCAGCACUAGGAUCUUGGGUUGUUGGAGAAGAGUCUGCAGCAAAAAAGCAACGAGAGACAAGGUACUCGGUGUUUUUCUGGACUGUGCUCGUUUUUGUAUUAUUUGUUCAUAACUGAACUGAGGAGAGCCCACACCAUUGUACUACUCUAUCUCCUUCACCUGGACCAUGGUGUAUGAUAGUUGUGCAUUCCUUAUUAGCUAUUGCUAACGGUACCUCUAUGCUAGUCAUUCUCCCUCAAAAUUAAUUUUGAUCCUUAGCAACAAUACUAUUUGAACUUCUCUUCUGCCUCCAUGUUGCGUGACUGGUCAUGAGCUGGAUUCAUUUUUAAGACUUUAUAGUAUAACAUUUUAAACAUUGGUACUGUUUGCUGAAUUCAUAAGGGUAAUCCCAGUGCAAUAGGUAGAAUCUGAUCUGAGAUUGUUAGUGUUGCUGAUUGACCAGAAAUACGAAGAAUAUAGUAGCACCAUUGAUUGAUUGGACCUGAACUGAAUGUAACCGUGGUAAAUACCGCAUUUUAUAACAUCUACUUCUUCUUAGCUUGAUAAAAAGCACAACCAUAUGAAAACAGAAGUAACACAUUCUUCCCUGUUGCUAGUUAAGGGAUUUGAGAUUUUAGCACUUCAAGUUGCUCGCUGUUUCAAGUUGGGUCAUGGCCAUUUUAUAACAUUCACGGUUUUAAGAAUGAUGAAAGCACAACCAUAUGAAACUACAAUUAACAAACUCUUCCCUAUUGUAUUGUAACAGAUGGGAGAUCAGGGGGGUACCUGCCUGCAAUCCAAGGAGCAAAUCGAGGCCACCCCUGUGACCAAGCAAGAUGCUACAGUUAGAAGAGAACGGGCGCUCGCCUACGGAUUCUCCCAUUAGGUUGGUUUGGUUGCAGCAGAUUCAUGGCCACGUUAUGUUUACAUUGAUGGUUGCAAAUAAAUCUGCUUAUGUGCUGGACUGGCACUUGACAUUUCAACAAUGUUUGUUUUUGUCGAUCUUUACUGUUUUACCAGUUCACUACUGGAACCCAUGCUUGAUUUCGUUAGCAUAAGGCAUGCUUGUCGCUCACUGUCUCGUUUGUCAUCAGGAUUCAAGCAUCUCAAUUGAAAGGACUACGCAAAGCAAACGACACGACAAGGAAUCAUCAGACUCAUCCUAGGUGGCUUUGAUAGGUCCAGGACACGCGGGGCAUCUGAGAAGAAUAUGUAACAAGAAAACAAGUCCAAGACACAAAAGAUCUUGGGUCGUGGGAGAAGAGUCGGCAGCAAAAAGUCAACAAUAGACAAAGGGUACGCGAUAUUUUUCUGGGCUGAGUUCAUUUUUGUAUUAUUUGCUUAUAACUGAACCGAGUCAAGGCUGCAACACUGCACCGUUCUCUUCUUCACGUGGACCAUGGUGUAUGAUGGUUAUGCAUUCCCUGUUGCUAGUAGAACCUCUAUGCCAAACCAUUUCUAGUUCAGUAUUGGCAAACUAUAUUGUACAUGGACAGCAAUAUAGGACAGAGUUGGGAUCCUUUUUGCUAAUUUUGACUAAAUAAUAAUGUGCUCUUCGUAUAGUUUCGGUCAAUUCAAGGGAGCACUUUUACUCUCUAUUAUAACCCGCAAAAAUUGACUUGAUUCAGUCAGUUAUGAGCUAACCAGUGACUUGUACAGUCUAACGGGUCCUAACUGGAGUUUUUCAUCAUGUGUCUUACUUGCUAGACUUGGAUCAAUGGAAGGGUUUAGUUUGUUGUAACCGGAGCUAGUAGGCAUGGUCAGUUUGCACCAUUGCUUGCUUAGUCCAAGUAAAAGGGCCUUGGUCCUGAGAAAUAUGUUUUUCCCCUUCUACUAUUUCUGGUCUUUAUGCAGUUUUUGCAGUGUCAUCUCUCUGGCUCAACAAGGUUGUUAAUGAUUAGUGCCGAGUACCAUAGUUUUUUCCUCCAGCUACGAGUUUCCUUGAUUUUUAUGUGGUGACUCUUUGUGUUCUGAGCAUUCAAAUUCCUUUGUGCUAAUCUCAUGGGAUUUGGACUCUCUGAUGUUGCUCCAGUAGCACUAUUUGUAGAAUUUGUUCUUUGUUUGCUCCUUUACAUAGAAUGACCAUCUGUUCUUAUGUCAUGUUCAUGUUUUGUCGUGGUUAUAUUUCAUAACGAACUGAGUUGUGGUUAUUUGAUGUUUUGCCAGGACAGUUUCUAUGAGAUGCAACCAUGGAUAUCACCUUGAUUCUGCUUGACGCCCAGGACCAGGACACUGAUGUAUGGUGUGUAACAACAAACCUCCUUGUAGCUGUAGCUUUCCUCUAGUGUUGAGAACAAAUAGAGUUGUGCUGAGAACAGGAAAUUCUUCAUUUUGCGUUCAACAAUAUAAUUCUGCUCUCCUUUUGUUGUACACAAAUGAGACACUCAUGAAUAGCAAGCAAGUAAGCAACCAUCUUGGCAGCACCUAUCUAUUUCAGAGAUUGAUGUAUUUAUGUUUUUUUUUACCGUGUAUACUAUACAAUAUCAUUCUUGUGUUACAAGUUCAUUUGUGAAAGCUAGGCAAUUUUUUCUUUAAGACAUGCAAGUUUUAUGCUUGUAGAAAAUACUUGCUACAAAUGAAGUCAACUAUAAUGACAGAUUAAGCUUUAGUCUAACUGAAUUGGUCCACUGGACUGUGCUUGCAGAUCAUGUUACUUUUGUGGUUACAUGGACUGCUAGGGCUACCUGCAUCUGCUCGUCCACUGCUCUGACGCCAUGGUGAGACGUAGAUCUUCCCCUGUUCCCACCCUAGCGCAGGCUGCUGCUCGUCAAGGUGGGUACUCUCGCCCAUCAUUGAUUUACUCUUCUUUCCUUGCCUUCCAUUCUCUGAAGUGCUCUUGGUUGGCUUGCCUGGUUUCCUUACCCACGCAGGUGCAUGCCUGCCUGACGAAACCAACAUCGAUCACAAGUGGCCAACCCUAGCUACUGGCGCACACCAGGGUUGUUUGUUGCUGGCCGUACCCGACAUGCACAAGUUUGUCUCUCCCUAGCUGCUCCAGCCCUCACUCCGCCGCUUGCUUUCGGCAUAGGUGGUGGUUCCUCUCCUCUACUCCCUCGAUUUAUUUCUAGUGUUUUUUUUGUGAUGUGCUGGUGUUGCAAACAUUUCUAGUGUUUGCUUAUUGGAUUUAGCUCUCAAUUGUGAACUGGCCUUGAUUUAUGCAGGCAGUUUGCUGUCUUCUGGUUGCGCGAAGGAGGCCAUGGAGAAGUUGCCGCCGACCUAUGGUGUGCACCAGAAGGUGAACUCAAGGAGAGUUUGAUCUUCUCAGCGCCCUGGUGGUUGUGAUUAUCUAUCUGGGUUCGCCAGGAAAAUCACGAUAUUUUUGGGCACCCCGUGAUUGAAGAGUGGAUCCUGUUUGCUGCAAUCUUUAAUGGAAAACAGAAGUAGUAUGGUGUAAUGUGUUUCCCCAUGGUGAUAGGGUUUUUUGUUUUGGUCGUUUCUGGGAUGAUGCAUAUGUGGAUAAAUCUGAACGACAUCCAAUGACUGUAUGAAUAAGGCCGAUCAAAAUUAUUGUCUGCCAUUGAAAUUAAGAUGCAAUCAAGCCAAUGAUUUUUUCUGGUUGAUGAUCUGAAGGACUUGCUGAUUGCAUAGAUAAUUUAUUUGUCCUUGUUUCAAGAUCCAUGCCCAUGACCAUGAUGGAUAUGUCACCAGUUCCAUUUUCUUGUAAAUGCUGGCUAGCAUAUACUUGCUUUGUUGCUCUUGAAAAAUAAUAGAAAAGAGACUGCCCAUGCAUGCCCAUCAACAC
rnacentral:lncRNA from 1 species